UACGUAGGUGUCUAUCGUUGUCCGGAUUUAUUGUGUUUAAAGGGUGCGUAGGCGGUUCUAUAAGUCAUUGGUUAAAUCCGGCAGCUCAACUGUCGAUGUGCCAUUGAUACUGCAGAACUUGAGUACAGACGAGGUAGGCGGAAUUGACGGUGUAGCGGUGAAAUGCUUAGAUAUCGUCAAGAACACCGAUAGCGAAGGCAGCUUACUAGACUGUAACUGACGCUGAUGCACGAAAGUGUGGGGAUCAAACAGG
rnacentral:rRNA from 1 species